GUCAAAUCAUUUUUAAAACUUAAAAAUCAGAAGUGUUUCCAAACUAAACACUAAGCAAAAUAAGAAUUGGACUUGUUCUGAAUGCAUCUUUACCUUGUGGAAGAUGUGUUAAGUGUGGGGAUGCCUGAGUCAGGUGGAGCUGAUGUGGGGGUGGGAAAGAUGGCAGCUGCCCAGGGCUCACGUGCAUGGCCCAGGCCGUGUCCUCGUGGGAGGUGUUGGGCUCCACACAUGUGUAUCGUGGGGCAGUCAGUCACUGUGGGGUGUGUUUAAAGUCAGCAGUUACCACAUUAGUUUACCUUGAAUUGUGUUUUCUGAAUAGCUUCUGCUUUCUCCUGAUCAAUGCUAUCAGAUAAACAGAUUAGUAUGAAUGUUUUGUAUUGAGGAUGGAAAUGAUGCAUUUCUCUUGUUUUAUGUCUUUCAUAAACUAGCAUUUUUUUUCUUAUGGAAAUAAGUGUUUCAGGUGUUUCCAUUUAGGGCAGAUACAUGCACAUUGUCGUGUCAUACCAUCAUCCUGGAAGUGACUUCUGUGGAUUUAAAACAGCACUUUUAAUUUUAUACAUGACACAAAACGUUGAAAUGCA
rnacentral:lncRNA from 1 species